rnacentral:rRNA from 1 species
GAUGAACGCUGGCGGCGUGCCUAAUACAUGCAAGUCGAGCGAACGGACGAGAAGCUUGCUUCUCUGAUGUUAGCGGCGGACGGGUGAGUAACACGUGGAUAACCUACCUAUAAGACUGGGAUAACUUCGGGAAACCGUAGCUAAUACCGGAUAAUAUUUUGAACCGCAUGGUUCAAAAGUGAAAGACGGUCUUGCUGCCACUUAUAGAUGGAUCCGCGCUGCAUUAGCUAGUUGGUAAGGUAACGGCUUACCAAGGCAACGAUGCAUAGCCGACCUGAGAGGGUGAUCGGCCACACUGGAACUGAGACACGGUCCAGACUCCUACGGGAGGCAGCAGUAGGGAAUCUUCCGCAAUGGGCGAAGGCCUGACGGAGCAACGCCGCGUGAGUGAUGAAGGUCUUCGGAUCGUAAAACUCUGUUAUUAGGGAAGAACAUAUGUGUAAGUAACUGUGCACAUCUUGACGGUACCUAAUCAGAAAGCCACGGCUAACUACGUG